UGAGGAAUAUUGGUCAAUGGACGGAAGUCUGAACCAGCCAAGUAGCGUGCAGGAUGACGGCCCUAUGGGUUGUAAACUGCUUUUGUAUGGGGAUAAAGUUAGGGACGUGUCCCUAUUUGCAGGUACCAUAUGAAUAAGGACCGGCUAAUUCCGUGCCAGCAGCCGCGGUAAUACGGAAGGUUCAGGCGUUAUCCGGAUUUAUUGGGUUUAAAGGGAGCGUAGGCUGGAGAUUAAGUGUGUUGUGAAAUGUAGACGCUCAACGUCUGACUUGCAGCGCAUACUGGUUUCCUUGAGUACGCACAACGUUGGCGAAAUUCGUCGUGUAGCGGUGAAAUGCUUAGAUAUGACGAAGAACUCCGAUUGCGAAGGCAGCUGACGGGAGCGCAACUGACGCUUAAGCUCGAAGGUGCGGGUAUCAAACAGGAUUAGAUACCCUGGUAGUCCGCACAGUAAACGAUGGAUGCCCGCUGUUGGUACCUGGUAUCAGCGGCUAAGCGAAAGCAUUAAGCAUCCCACCUGGGGAGUACGCCGGCAACGGUG
rnacentral:rRNA from 1 species